UUUCCGUAGGUGAACCUGCGGAAGGAUCAUUAGUGAUUUGACCACUCUGUGGUCUCAAAACUAUUCCACAUACCUCUGUGAACUGUUAGAUCUCCGGAUCUGUAUUACAAACAUCAGUGUAAUGAACUUAAAAAGUAUUUAUAACCUAAUAAAACUUUCAACAACGGAUCUCUUGGCUCUCGCAUCGAUGAAGAACGCAGC
rnacentral:misc_RNA from 1 species